rnacentral:rRNA from 1 species
CCUACGGGUGGCAGCAGUCGAGAAUCAUUCACAAUGGGGGAAACCCUGAUGGUGCGACGCCGCGUGGGGGAAUGAAGGUCUUCGGAUUGUAAACCCCUGUCAUGUGGGAGCAAAUUAAAAAGAUAGUACCACAAGAGGAAGAGACGGCUAACUCUGUGCCAGCAGCCGCGGUAAUACAGAGGUCUCAAGCGUUGUUCGGAAUCACUGGGCGUAAAGCGUGCGUAGGCUGUUGCGUAAGUCGUGUGUGAAAGGCGCGGGCUCAACCCGCGGACGGCACAUGAUACUGCGAGACUAGAGUAAGGGAGGGGGAACCGGAAUUAUCGGUGUAGCAGUGAAAUGCGUAGAUAUCGAGAGGAACACUCGUGGCGAAGGCGGGUUCCUGGACAUUAACUGACGCUGAGGCACGAAGGCCAGGGGAGCGAAAGGGAUUAGAUACCCGAGUAGUC